CUCCUGGGCCCUGCUCACACUGCUGUGGUUUUGUGCCUUUGCAGGGUAUAUGAGUACCAGAAGAUCCCACCCCUCAUUAACCGCAUCCCUGUCAAGGCCAGACGAACUCAUGUUGGGGCAGGAAGCAAAAGUAGUCUAAGCCCCCAACCUGGGACAAGGAGCAGCACCAGCUCCACGACAGGACGGACAAAGUUGCGGGCCGAAGAGCUGCACUCGAUCAAAGGGGAGCUGAGUCAGAUCAAGGCACAGGUGGACAGUCUGCUGGAGAGCCUGGACCGCAUGGACCAGCGGAGAGACCGUCUCUCAGUCUCUGUCCCUACAGGAUCCAAGGAGAGCGAGAAGAAAAGGGUCGAAGUGGG
rnacentral:lncRNA from 1 species